rnacentral:lncRNA from 1 species
GCUUCAGGCGGAGCUGGGGUGCAAGGAGACCAGCGGCGCGGCGCCUUCCCUCGGAGCUGCGGCGAGUGAGCCACAUUCCUGAGUGUGAGCGGGCACCGAUUGUGGCGCAUGCCACGGGGACAAGUGCAGGUGACUUGGGAGAAGAGCGGUCGGCAUUCACACUAGUGUUGGGGCGGGACCGCGAGGGUCUGGCAUCACAGGACACCUAGGCUGGGUUCAGACAGGAGGACAGUGAGGAAGUGCCGGGGUCCCGAGGGCAGUAGGGUGCAGGGGGCGUGCUCGACAUCGAGGCUACUAGGCGGCCACGGACGAGUCCGGAUUUUAAGCUAGUUGUCGCCUAAAACCCGGUCCCAAAACAAAAUGGCCGCCAAGAAUGAAGACUACAUUUCCCAGCAUUCCCUGCAGCGAGGGUGCUUCAACGAGAAGAGUGUGUGAGAGUUGCCUGUAGCUGACAGCAACAGCGCAUUUCCCUAGACCAGGCACUGGGCUUUAUCCACGAUCUCGUUCAAGCUUUGAGGUCGUUCUUGAAGUGUCACACAGAGCAGUCUCCCUGCCCCGGGAAGCC